rnacentral:rRNA from 1 species
GAUGAACGCUGGCGGCGUGCCUAAUACAUGCAAGUCGAGCGAACGGACGAGAAGCUUGCUUCUCUGAUGUUAGCGGCGGACGGGUGAGUAACACGUGGAUAACCUACCUAUAAGACUGGGAUAACUUCGGGAAACCGGAGCUAAUACCGGAUGAUAUUUUGAACCGCAUGGUUCAAAAGUGAAAGACGGUCUUGCUGUCACUUAUAGAUGGAUCCGCGCUGCAUUAGCUAGUUGGUAAGGUAACGGCUUACCAAGGCAACGAUGCAUAACCGACCUGAGAGGGUGAUCGGCCACACUGGAACUGAGACACGGUCCAGACUCCUACGGGAGGCAGCAGUAGGGAAUCUUCCGCAAUGGGCGAAAGCCUGACGGAUCAACGCCGCGUGAGUGAUGAAGGUCUUCGGAUCGUAAAACUCUGUUAUUAGGGAAGAACAUAUGUGUAAGUAACUGUGCACAUCUUGACGGUACCUAAUCAGAAAGCCACGGCUAACUACGUG